UUGGAAAGCUGUGUCCUGGCUUCAUGAAUCUCCAGCAGUUGGUGCCCUUUGCUACCCAUCUUUAAUCAUCCCUUUCAGUCCCUUGCCUUCUCAGAGUCUUGCUAUGUUGCCUGGGCUUGUCUGGAACUGCUGGGCUGAAGUGAUCCCCUGCCUCAGCCUUCCGAGUUGCUGAGAUGACAGGCAGCUGUCAAUGUGCCUGGCUCAAAGUGCUGUUUAUUUUUAUUUUUAUUUUUAUUUUUUAUACUUUAAGUUCUAGGGUACAUGUGCACAACGUGCAGGUUUGUUACAUAGGUAUACAUGUGUCAUGUUGGUUUGCUGCACUCAUUAACUCGUCAUUUACAUUAGGUAUUUCUCCUAAUGCUAUCCCUCCCCCUGUCCCCCACCCUCUGACAGGCCCCGGUAUGUGAUGUUCCCCACCCUGUGUCCAAGUGUUCUCAUUGUUCAGUUUCCACCUGUGAGUGAGGACAUGUGGUAUUUGGUUUUCCGUCCUUGUGAUAGUUUGCUCAGAAUGAUGGUUUCCAGCUUCAUCCAUGUCCCUGCAAAGGACGUGAACGUAUCCUUUUUUAUGGCUGCAUAGUAUUCCAUGGUGUAUAUAUGCCACAUUUUCUUAAUCCAGUCUAUCCUUGUUGGACAUUUGGGUUGGUUCCAAGUCUUUGCUAUUGUGAAUAGUGUCGCAAUAAACAUAC
rnacentral:lncRNA from 1 species